CCUAACUUUGUCAGAAGACCACAUGGUUUUCUAAUGGCCGCUUCUCGACUCAAACCAAACUCGAAACAAACCACAUAUCCCACAUGUUUCAACCUCCCGAGUCAAUUGGUUAUGUCAUUUUCUACAUUUGAAGCCUCCAUCAUGCCAUUCCAGCUCUGACCAGUAGCCGCACCUCCCUCAAGUUUUCUCGGUUUUCUGGUGAAUGCUUCCCAACUCAACUCAAACUCGAAACAAACUACAUAUCCCAUAUGUUUUCGACCUCUUGAGUCUAUUGUCCAUUUUUCCAUUUGAACCUUCCUACAGCUCACACAGCUGCUGGUCAUUAGCGUCUAUCUCGGGUUUUCCCGAUUUUCGACAAGUUUUCUUCCUCCACGACUAAGGAGAGUCGUGCCCACAUCCUUAGACAAGUCAUCCAUGACCCUCUCUCUUCCCUUGAUAAGGAAGUCACGGUCCAAGAGCCAUUCCACCGAGCACAACCACCUCUCGAGCCUCUUCUCCUCUCGGAUUUCCAUUUUCUCGGUUUUCUUUUUCUUUCUUUCGGGGUCAAGACGGGGACUAGCAGUUCGAGUGCCACCCCAGUCAGUGUCCAAGAGUCCCUUGGCUGCCUCGAGCCACCGUGAGCUGUGACCGGUCACAGCUGCCUCUUCCUCCCCAUCCAACCGGGUUUAGUCGCGGCCCCACCCGAGCCUCGCCCAGGUCACCUAACUUCCUUGUGCCUCCAUUGACCCACCGAGUGUCCAAACCACACCCUGAGGCAUAGGAAACGGUCAAAAUCGAGGUCAAGGAGGACACCUCAACCUGAGUCGGGUCAAUGGGACCUCUCAGUCACAUCCAUGAGCGCGGGGCCGAAAGCCCCUUGAACCAUCUCGGGUCCAUUGUGCCCUCCCCUUCCUUCAGCAUGGGGCUGAUAGGCCCGAAGGGCCCGAUUGUGCCCCGCGUGGUCCAAACAUGGUUUGAGUGGCCUCGAUUAGGCCGGCCAUGCCUCUUUUUUUUUCAAAAUUAAAACCGAACUAAAGAAUAUUUUAUCCUCGAUCAAAACUUGAUUUGUCUCCAUUUUUUGUAAUUAAAUUCUGUUUCUAUGUGAAUGAGUCAAAUCUCAGUGAGGAUUAGAUGGAAUAGACCCAAAUGUAUUAGUCCUGGGAUCACCAUCCUUAGUUAAAAUACCUCUUGAUAUUUGGUGAGGAUUAGGGUGAGAUUACAAGAAAAAUCAAGUGAAUUUCUUCGGGAUA